rnacentral:sRNA from 1 species
GCUAUGUUUUGAAUCCUAAUGCUGUCUUUUUGAAGUGAUAAUCUGAAUCUACAUAUACAUUUUUGCAGCUAUUUUGAUAAAUAAAUCCUGGAGUUGGAACUUAUUUACAAUGGCUGCCACUGGCUUAUUCAAUUAACUAUCAAAUCAAAGCAAAUCUUAUUCAAAGGAAUAUGCUCUUAUUCCAUGGCCUAAUUAUUUUUGCCAAAAUAGU